rnacentral:rRNA from 1 species
GCAGGAGAAGUGUUGUUAAGGAACUCGGCAAAAUGACUCCGUAACUUCGGGAGAAGGAGUGCUGCGCAAGCAGCCGCAGAGAAUAGGCUCAAGCAACUGUUUAGCAAAAACACAGGUCUAUGCAAAACCGAAAGGUGAGGUAUAUGGGCUGACGCCUGCCCGGUGCUGGAAGGUUAAGGGGAGAGGUUAGCGUAAGCGAAGCUUUGAACUUAAGCCCCAGUAAACGGCGGCCGUAACUAUAACGGUCCUAAGGUAGCGAAAUUCCUUGUCGGGUAAGUUCCGACCCGCACGAAAGGCGUAAUGAUUUGGGCACUGUCUCAACAAUGCACCCGGUGAAAUUGAAAUACCAGUGAAGAUGCUGGUUACCUGCGCCAGGACGGAAAGACCCCAUGGAGCUUUACUCCAGCUUGAUACUGGGAUUCGAUAUUGCAUGUACAGGAUAGGUGGGAGACUGAGAACUGAUGACGCCAGUUGUCAGGGAGUCACUGUUGGGAUACCACCCUUGCAGUAUUGGGUUUCUAACCAGCAGCCGUGAACCGGCUGGGGGACAAUGCCAGGCGGGGAGUUUGACUGGGGCGGUCGCCUCCGAAAGGGUAUCGGAGGCGCCCAAAGGUUCCCUCAGAAUGGACGGAAACCAUUCGAAGAGUGCAAAGGCAGAAGGGAGCUUGACUGCGACACCGACGGGUGGAGCAGGUACGAAAGUAGGGCUUAGUGAUCCGGUGGUAUUAAGUGGGAAUGCCAUCGCUCAACGGAUAAAAGCUACCCUGGGGAUAACAGGCUUAUCACUCCCAAGAGUUCACAUCGACGGAGUGGUUUGGCACCUCGAUGUCGGCUCAUCGCAUCCUGGAGCUGUAGCAGGUUCCAAGGGUUGGGCUGUUCGCCCAUUAAAGCGGUACGCGAGCUGGGUUCAGAACGUCGUGAGACAGUUCGGUCCCUAUCCGGCGCGGGCGUAGGAUAUUUGAGAGGAGCUGUCCUUAGUACGAGAGGACCGGGAUGGACUGGCCGCUGGUGUAUCUGUUGUCUUACCAAAGGCAUAGCAGAGUAGCCAAGCCGGGAAGGGAUAAACGCUGAAGGCAUCUAAGCGUGAAGCCCCCCUCA